GACAGAGGUGCCAAGCGUUAGGCGGAAUCACUGGGCUUAAAGCGUGUGUAGGCGGGCGGGCAAGUACCCUGUGAAAUCCCACGGCUCAACCGUGGAACGGCUGGGUAUACUGCCUGUCUUGAGCCAGCUAGGGGCGACCGGAACAGACGGUGGAGCGGUGAAAUGCGUAGAUAUCGUCUGGAACGCCAAAGGUGAAAACAGGUCGCUGGGGCUGAGCUGACGCUGAGACACGAAAGCCAGGGGAGCGAACGGG
rnacentral:rRNA from 1 species